ACAUAACACUGUGUAUGCAUCCUCGCCGACCUGCGCGAAGCUCUUUAGGGAUUGCUCGCCACGCCUGGUGCCUGCCACUGUUAUGAAGCGAGGCGUGCGGCAGGCUAAGAGCCUCCACGUGCUGCAGCGGCUGCUCGGCCCCGUUGUCGCGCUUUACAUCUCGCGAUGCCGAGCGAAAGCCGAUGUGGCACGUGAGGCGUCGCUGUAUCAUGCACCCAGCAUAGACGCUCUCAAGCAGCUUCCGAUUUUUGCGAAAUGGCCAGACUCAGCACUGCAGACGUGGCUGUCACACGGAGUGAUGGUGGUUCACAGAAAGGGGACAUGCAUCGGCUUUGCAUGCGAGCCACCGCAAGCAGCGCGUGUAUUCUGGGUGAUCGCCGGCAAAGUCGCUCAAGUGCCGGCGAAGAGCGAGCUUCGCGAGUGCGCUGGUGAGCUUCUGCACCUGCCGCCAAACGCACCGAAGACUGGCCCAGUGGUACUGCCUGCUCACUUUCUGGAGGAUUCAGCGAAGGCGGCACUGCCUUCUCUCACCCCCACCCAAGAGCGCAUCAAGGAAUCGCUGGCGACAUACCAUGCCGGUCACUUUGUCGAUGCCGAGAGGCUGCUGCUCGGUGGUGGAAGGCGGCGCUCGCUGCGAUGUCAGACAGACACAGUUAUGCUGAGCUUUCCCUUUUCGCUUUUCUUGAGAGAAGUUCAGUGUUUGCCCGGCCCGCUGCGAAGCGAUGUUAUCGAUGUCGCGCGCACCGUUGCUCAACGUGCCAUGACGCAGUUGGGUGAGAUGCCAUCCGUGCACUCCCUAGCCUCGGCGAAUCCGGUCCUGCAAAGCCUUCCGCUAAGAGAUCUGAGAGCCCUGCGUCUCCAGCUGAGGCCGUUCGUGUUUCUGCAAUUCGACGCCAUCUGUGAGGAUGUGGCGAACUCGGACAAAGUCUUUUUCCUCAGCCUCGGCAAGGUACUCAUCGAAGACUGCAAAAACCGCUCAUCGACGAUUAUAUCUAAAGUGUCGACUGCCGUCGGGCUGGAGACGUUUGUGCCGUGCCGCUUUCCGGACUACUACGAUCAGAAGCUGCGGGCGGAGGCGGCUACGUACUGUGAGAUGUGGUGCAUCCCCACCGCCGCGCUGCUUACCCUGUGCAGCGCUGAAACACAGCUCCGCUGCGCGCAAGCAGCUACGCAACUCUUGGCCGACAAAACGCGCCGGUUCACGCCAGCAUCCGCGCUGCGUACAUGCCCUUGCUUCGCUGGCGUCUCCGAGGCGGCCAUCGCUGCCGUCGCUCGAGCGCUGCAGGUGCGGGUGUACUGUGCGGAUGACACGAUCGUAGCCUCGAAGCGAGCGCCUAGCACGGGCAUUCUCGUCGUGGCCGGAACCGUAGUCGUGCAUUCGAACAGGAAAAGAGCUCCCGAGCCUCUGCGCGCAGGCCAAGCCCGCUACUUUUGCGAGUGCUUUGUGAAGAUGGCGCUAGAGGAGUCGGUGAUCUCGCAGAGCAGCUCUAUCGUGCUGCACGGGUCUCCUGGAGCAAUAUUCGAGCUUAUAGAAGCGCUCGACACUGCGUCAAACGACAUCAAAAUCAUGUUGGACAGUGCGCAAGAGUACGUGAAUGGCCAGUAUGGGGCUGGGGCCAGCAACCUCAGCAAGGCGCAAAAUGCAGCAGCCGAGCGUGUAAGGGCAUACAAACGUCGCCGCGCGGGAGCUGCGCCGACACCGUCUCCACCAAGCACCAGCAUCGACACCGUGGACAACAUCACCGUUCUGGAGAAUGAGCUCUUGGCCAGUCUGGCAUUGCAGUUGCAGGCGCUGCACCCCGACACAGGAGAUGAAGCAAGAUUCGACGUCCUGCGGGUAGGGGAGCUGACGAUGGUGGACGACGACGCCCCGAGCGAUUCUCGGUCAGCUGCAGAGUGCUUUUCCCUUGACGACGAAGGCAGGCUUGUCACCUGUGCCUUGCCAGCACUAGUUACUUCUGCGCGCCCCUUGACAGAGGUCCCUGUGGCUCCGUCACCCGUCAUUGUUGCACCGAGAACCGACGUAGUCGCUGCGUCAUUGCAGCAGCGAGGGAAAACGAAAGAGAAGACGUCUUCAGCGCAGGAGACGGCAGCUGUUGUGCCUCGAUCACUGCGCACAGCUGUGUGUGCGUCGACCCCCGCAGCAGCUGGACAGCGCAGUGUGCCCUCUCCCCGUCUUACCGCGUUGCGCACCACGGCAGCGCGUCUCCGAGAAGAAGCAGAUGGCGUAGACAGGCGAAGAGAGUAUCAACGUCAGCUGUUGCGCGCGAAACACUCUCUGUGAUCCUGCACCUCUCCUUCUAGGGUGAUUUGUCGCUGCUGCCCUGAAGGCAUCGCGUUGGUGUGCUCUCCGCCUUUCUUUCCUUCGUUGGCGUCUUGCACUUUGUAGAAUAGGGCUCACCGUUUGGCUCUGUGCCUACACUUUUUUCUAUCCCUUGGCUCCAAGGACCAAGAGCUGCCUUAC
rnacentral:misc_RNA from 1 species